GGGCCUUUAGCUCAGUUGGUAGAGCGCCACGUUUACACCGUGGAUGUCAUCGGUUCGAGCCCGGUAGGGCCCACC
rnacentral:tRNA from 1 species